AGGGAUAUAGCUCAGUGGUAGAGCACGUGCUUAGCAUGGACAAGGUCCUGGGUUCAAUUUCCUGUACCUCUA
rnacentral:tRNA from 1 species